GUUGUAUAUAUAUAAGAUCUAACGUCGAUUUCUUUCCUUCUAUUUUCUGUAAUGGUCGAAUAUUGUUAGUGUAAUGGCCGAAUUGAUGCUUAUUUUUGUGUAUAAUUUUAUUUGGAGGGCCUAAUUUGAACACCUUGGACCAGUCGUAGCAUUGAGGGAUAAUCUGCAUCUCUUGUUUAAUCGUUAGAAGAGUUUGAGAUUGAUUGGUGACAGAGGGGCUCCAUGGAGUACUGGCAGUUUAUCCAUAAUAUUCUUGUAUUGGCAGUAUAUCUAUACCACGAAGUAUUGUUAGAGUACUGGUGGUUUAUCCGUAACUUACUGGCAGCUUGUCUGCAAACUAGUGGUAGUUUGACUGCAUAUUGUUACUAGUGAUUUAUCCACAUCGAGCUUCGACUCUUGCUAUUUUUGGUGUUCAGGUGAAGCAUUCUGGAGAACUCGUUGUAUGUAGCGGAUAGAUGUGUAGGUGUAACAGUCCGUUUUUAGUGAAAUCAAAAUAGUGGUUUCGGGAUCACAAAUCCGAAGUUGAAAAAAAUAUUUUAAAAUUAUUUUAAUAUCUACAGCAUGUUAGAAUUAUGUUAUAAAAAUUUUGUUAAGAAAUUUUACCAUUUGUAUGCUCAAUUUGUGAAAAAGGACUGAGUCGCGUAAAGAGUGAAAGUUGUGUUCUAUUAGCUAAAAGUGUUAAAUAGCUAUAGAACCUUAAAGUGAAAGUCCUUUUGUGGUAAUUGAACCAUUAUUUGAGUUAUUGGAUGAGCAUGGCUUGGUAUUUAUGAAAAUUUUAAAGCUAGGUAAGGGCAAAAAGGUAAUUAGGUAAUUAAAGGCCAAAUUAGUAAAACAAAUAGCUAUCAUCUUUCUCCCAUUUCUUUUGGUGUUGGCUGAAUAUCACCAUAUGAGGGGAGAAGAGAUUUUAUUCAAGCUUUCUCUUUGCAUGUAAGUGAUUCAUUGUCCCAUUUUUGUUGAUUUUAACAUUUUUGGUAUCUUUGUAGCUUAAUCUAGCUAAAUAGGGGACUAAUUUGUAAAAUGGUUGAAAGCCUAGGGUUUUAUAAUUGAUGCAUAUGUUAGGGUUUAGAAUUUUAUUGGAAUAAAAUGAGUCUUUGUUGUUAAUUAAACAACUUUUGUUAAGGGAUUUUUAAUGAAAUUACCAUUUAGGGGUUAAAUUGUGAAAUAUGAAAAUUGUGUGUUAAAUGUGUGAAAUUUUGGAUUGUAUGGGCUGAUAUAAGUGUAUAUGAAAUUUUGGCUAGGCUUGGUUAAGGGUCAAAUUUCAUGAAUAUCAUUUUACGAGCCUAGGGACUAAAUUGUAAAAAGGUUAAAAGUAUAGGGGAAAAUAGUAAUUUUGUCAAAACCUGAAUUUUUGGAUUUAAUUUAAUAGAAUAAUGAUUAAAAUAGUUAAUUUGAUUAUAUAGAUCAAGAAAAGCAACGAAAGGAAUUAGAUUAGGGAAAGGACAAACUUAUCGAAUAAACGAUCAUUUUCUGUCAUACGAGUUUGAGGUAAGUUCAUAAAAUUAAAUUGUGUAUUUAUAUACUUUAAUUAAAAAUAUAUGUACUAAAUUGUGUAAUUAUGAUGUAUAAAUUAUCGAAUGCAUAACCGAUGAAGUACGGAGAAAUACCGAGCCCUGUUGAACCUUAAAAAUUCGUAGGAUACAAAUGACAUGUCAUUAGGGUUACCAUUUUGGUUGAAGUCUUGCAUGUGUUGUGGACUCACCACAGCUUGUAUGAGCUUACCGAUAUUCAGCUCGGAGGAGCUUACCGUUUAUCGCUCGUAUGAGCCUACAUGUUCAGGAAUUUACAGAUUAUAGUCCAGCACACCUCGUGUGUAUUACCCGCGUAUCUAAUGAGAUUCUAAGUGGUUCAACGGGUGUAGUGUAUUAUGAGGUUAUAUAAGUUAGAUGUGAAAUAUUGUAGGUAGUUACAUAGAGAUGAUUUAUAUAUUUUAUAUAUAGAUAUGUGGUAAAAAUGUUAAAAGUACAUGGAAUUCCAGUAAUUGUUGAAUUCAUGCAUGAUUCUCGGUUUUAUAUGUAUGCAUGACUAAUUUGGUGAAUGGCUAUAUGAUAGGCUUUGGCCAAAUUGAAUUGAGUUACUUGCCUAAAAUUGUGGUUAUAUGGUAAGUUUAAUUCUACGUAUUAUGAAUUUACUAAGCUUAAUUGCUUACUCCGUUUAUUUUUUCAUGUUUUUUUAAUGUCUCGGAAGCUCGUUCGGAUUGAAAGACGUCAAGGAUCGCAUCACACUAUCAAACACUUAUUUUGGUACUUUGGAUUCUAUAUAUUUUGGUUAAAUGGCAUGUAUAGGUAUGUUGGCUAAUGUGGCCUAUAUGUCUUGUUGAGUUUUGACCAUUUGAGUUUACUUGUAAAGUGGUCAUAUAUUUUGAUAUGUGUAUAUGUAUAAAUGUCCUUAUGUUAUGUGGUGUAUAGAGGUUAUAUGAAUGCCUUGUUUGUGAAA